GGGGCAUGGAAGUGUGCUACACACUUUUAAACAACCAGAUCUCCUGUGAACUCAGAGCAAAGGCUCACUUAUUACCAAGGGGAUGGCCCAAGCCAUACAUAAGGGAUCCACCACUAUGAUCCAAACACCUCCCACCAGCCCCAACUCCAACACUGGGAUUGACAUUUCAACAUGAGAUUUGGGCAGGGACGAAUAUCUAAACUA